rnacentral:rRNA from 1 species
AACGCGAAGAACCUUACCUGGCCUUGACAUCCACGGAAUUCGGCAGAGAUGCCUUAGUGCCUUCGGGAACCGUGAGACAGGUGCUGCAUGGCUGUCGUCAGCUCGUGUUGUGAAAUGUUGGGUUAAGUCCCGCAACGAGCGCAACCCUUAUCCUUUGUUGCCAGCGAGUAAUGUCGGGAACUCAAAGGAGACUGCCGGUGACAAACCGGAGGAAGGUGGGGAUGACGUCAAGUCAUCAUGGCCCUUACGGCCAGGGCUACACACGUGCUACAAUGGCGCAUACAAAGAGAAGCGAACUCGCGAGAGCAAGCGGACCUCACAAAGUGCGUCGUAGUCCGGAUCGGAGUCUGCAACUCGACUCCGUGAAGUCGGAAUCGCUAGUAAUCGUAGAUCAGAAUGCUACGGUGAAUACGUUCCCGGGCCUUGUACACACCGCGUGUCU